GAUGUCCACACCUGGCUUCAACAACCCGUGCGGUGCCCAUAUCUACAGCCCGGCGGGGCACCGCCUGGUUAUAUUAUCAUCUAGAGCUACCGGAUUCCACGGCUGGUCUCCAUCCUCCCUCUCCUUCCCUCAUCGCCAUGCGGACCCGCUGACUCCUUCUCGCCCGUCUCCCCCAAUCACUUCCCUUCUCUUUCCCUCUCUCGAUCUCUUAUCCGCUCCUUUUCCCGCUAUCCUCCACCCCCUCUUCUUCUUUAUCUAACCCUAAAUCACGGAUUCUUCUCGUCAAUGUCGUGGCUGAGAUCGGCCGUCAACAAAGCCGUCGAGGUCGGCGGCAAGAACAAUCUCACCCGCACCGUCAAGAACUAUGCCGACACCGUCGUCCACCACGCUGGCCAGGCCGUCGCCGGCGGGGCCAAGAUCAUCCAAGACCGCAUGGGAAUGCGAAAUUACAAAAGCUUCAAACUUACUGUGAAAAGAUUGGAAGAAGUUGCUGUAACUUGCAGAGGGGAAGAGAGAGUCCAGCUAUUAAGAAGAUGGUUGGUUGCAUUGAAAGAAACUGAGAGAUUAUCUGGAAGUUCAGUGGAUGAUAAAACUCCAGAGCAGCCGACAUCUUCUGAUGAGGCAAAUUCAUCUCCUAGAAAUGCUUCGUUGAUUUUAUUUUUUGAUUCUGAUAUGGGGGGUGAGCCCAUGAAUUUCCGCGACAUGUUUCUUCAUAGUCAAGCUCUUGAAGGCAUCACAUUGUCCAUGAUUCUGGAAGCUCCGAAUGAGGAAGAAGUUUCUCUGCUCUUGGAAAUUUUUGGACUCUGUUUUACAGGAGGGAAGGAAGUCCAUAAUGCAAUUAUGAGUAGUAUACAGGACUUGGCAAAAGCAUUCUCAAAUUACCAAGAUGAAGUAUUGGUAAAACAGGAAGAAUUGCUUCAGUUUGCGCAAUGUGCUAUUUCAGGACUUAAAGUAAAUGCUGAACAAUCAAGAGUAGAUGCUGAACUCUCAAAGCUGCGGAAAAAGAUUGAUGGAGUGGAAGCAUUGCAGACUCCGUCAGUCGAGGAUCACGAUGGAGCAUCAUCUGAAAGGACUUCUCUUGCUACUGUGGAGGCUCUAAAAGAUGCACUGGCAGAAGUUCGCCUAUGCUCUAGACUUGUACUACUCUUACUAAAGAAGAAGUCCAUAAACAGUGGGGACUCAUUAGAAAUUCGCUCUCAGAAGGUUGAUAAGUUGAAGGUACUAGAAGAAUCUCUUGCCAACUCUUGCUCCAAGGCAGAAAAACGAAUACUAGAUCACAGGCAUCAAAAAGAGGAGGCUCUCAACUUUCGUGUGGCUAAAGCCAAUGAAGUUGGUGAGAUAGAGAAGGAAUUGGUCACGGAGAUUGCUGGGCUGGAGAAGCAAAGAAAUGAAUUAGAAGCUGCAUUGAAGAAAGUCAAUAUUUCUUUGUCAGCUGCUGUUGCACGCCUUAAGAAGACCAGGGAGGAGAGAGAUCAGUUUGAUGAAGCGAGCAAUCAGAUUGUUGCACAUUUGAAAGCCAAGGAGAACGAGCUUUCAAGAUCUAUUGUGUCAUGUAAAGUAGAAGCUGAUAUUGUCCAUACAUGGAUCAAUUUCUUGGAGGAUACCUGGCAGCUCCAGUCCUCUUAUGCAGAACUGAAGGAGAAGCAGACCAAUGAUGAGUUGGAAAAAUAUGGAAACUGUUUUCUGAAGUUGAUCAAGUAUCACCUUUCUGCAUGCCAGGAAGAAUUGAGGCCUUCUAUAAAUCGUAUUGAGACAUUUGUGGAUAACCUGAAAAGAUUGAACGAAAGUGUGGAGGUAACAGAAAGUGCAGACAGUGACAUAUCUAAAGAAUCUAACCCACGGAUAGUUCUUGAGGAGGAAUAUUUGGAAGUUGAGACAAAGAUCGUAAUCACCUUCAGUGUGGUUGAUCACAUGAGGGAGCUGUUUUAUGCUGAACAAGGGAACACUUUGAGGAAAGAUAAUUCUGAGAUCAAAGAAUUAUUUGAUUCCAUUGAGAAAAUGAGAGGAGAAUUUGAAUCCAUUGAGAGACCAAUACUGGAGAUCGAGAUGCCUAGAGAAGAGGUGACUGUGUUUGAAGAGAGAUCACAAAAAGGUCCAUCUCAUACUGCACAGACAACCAAUUCACCUAAAUCCAAGGGGGUUGAGUCUCCCAAGUCAGCCUCUAAUUCACCUAGACCCAUAGGGGUUGGAUCUCCCAAGCCAUCUCAAGUGAGAACUGAACAAAACCUGGAUCCAGAAUCAGAACUGGCAAAACUGGAACUUGAAUUUGGAAAAAUCAGCAAAGACUAUUCAACAGAUGAGAUUGGUGGCUGGGAGUUUGAUGAGCUUGAGCAGGAACUGAGGUCGGGCAUUUCAGAAUCAAAUAAAUAGGCCUAAACUGCGUUGGCUGAAGUAGCAGUCAUCGAAGUCCCAUUCUGUACACACAACAUCAUCAAUAUAUGGUAUGAAGCAUGCUCUUCGAACAUAAAUGGAACUGGAUAAAUUUUGACUUCACGUAGAUGCGUGCAAGAGGCCCAGGAGUUAAAAGGUAGAAGCCACAUGGGCAUUCUACUUUCUGGGAACUAUUUUGGAUCGGGGGAUUGGGUCAUCUUCAUACACAAAAAAUUUUUUGUGCAUCGUCCGUGAUGUAGAAAAUCUGAUGUGAAGUGCACCGUUUUGCUCUAUUAAAUUACGUAACCAUUGCUUUUCAAUACAUAUUUAAUAUCCGCAGUUCUAUUUUUUCAUUUGAAAUUUUGAAUGGCAAAAAUAUUUUUCUUAAAUUAUGGCAUCCUUUCA